UACCUACCUACUCGGAUUUUUAAAUAAACAAAGUAAAAUGACUUAUUUAGUCACAGAGUACAUUAUUAUGACUGGUAUUUAGUUCAUUUUAUUUACGAGAUUCUGUCAAAACCAAAACGAGAAGCUUUGUUUGUUUUCGUUUUUAAUUGUUGACUAAUAUUUAAAAAAUAAGUGCUAAAUAUGGUUUAUGGAUGGACUGUGAGGUUAUGUAGAAUCUACAGGCAGAAAAUAAGCUUUAUAUGACUUAUUGCUUACGUUCGCAAUAACAAAUUUGUUCAAGAGAGGAGAAGAAUUAAUCCAUCCCAAAUGUAAAUAAUAAUACGAUUCUCCACAAAAACAUUGUAGACACAAGAAAGGGAUUUCUACAUUUGCUACUAAGAAGGAUAUGGGAUCAUGAAGGAUUUCAUCUGUUUUAAUACCAGUAAAAUGGAAUGAGCGCCGUGGCCGUGACUGUGUUUGGUACAUAAAGAAUGACAAACAUUCAACUUGAAAUUAUGAGUGCAUUACGGGCAAGGGCACAAUAAGUUGCCCUUUGACUAAGAUGUACUUAAUUUUAAGGAACACGAAAAUGGAUGGCUAGAAUAGGUAUAAUCGCAUACAUAGUAUUUAUUUCUAGUCUGUUGUAUAAAUAAUCAAAGACUACAAAAUAUAAUGAACUAUGUCUUUAAUAUUAAUUUUACAGUUUACAGUGUACUGUGUAGUGUGUAAUCUAUUGUAUGUGUGCGUCUAGAAUAUAUAGUCCUGUUGUUCUACAGUUUAAGCAGUUCAAUACAAGCUUACAGUCGAGUCAAGUGUUUCACUAACCACCAACCAUUGCAUGGCAACCCUGCCAGUUUUGUAAAUUGUAGUCUACCUAACCUGACUGUUGGUUUUGAUUUGUAUCACACAAAAAAUACUAUAGGUACCAAAUUUCAAGAAAUAAGAAUUAAAUACCUAUUUGAUUUAAUUUUACUACUAUACAGGAGCUUAUACAUGAAACAUGACCAAAGCAGGGCUUUGGAGAAAGUGUGUAUGGACAAAGACCACAAUACAUAUGGUGCGGACAACUGCAUGAAAAGCAUGCAGUAAGAGACAUUAAAUAAAUAAAUAAAUAAAACACAUUUAUUGUCAAGAUCACAACACGAGAUACAUUUAUAAACAAAGGAAAAACAAAAAGAAAUAAAAAGAAAAAUAAUUAAAUAAAAAUAAUCUUAUUCCUAAGAAGUGAGUGACCUGAUAAAUGGAGCCAACUAAGUAUAUGAUGGCAAUGUGAUUAAUACCUUACCACCACUGAUUUUCAGUGACCCCAAGUGACUAUUGGAGUUUCAGUCUAGAAUUGUAUAUAAUGAUAAUUUAACAUGAGUAUAUUAUGUGAAAGAUAUAUUUCUAUUAAUAUGAUAGAUACUAAUAAAUAAAUACAUCAGUUAAAACAUGUAAUAUAGGUAGCUGGUAGAUAUAAUAUCAGUAUGUAAUUAUGUA